rnacentral:pre_miRNA from 1 species
UCUUAUGGAUGAACAAAGAAAGUGGUUUCUUGAGCUGGAAUCUACUCCUGGUGAAGAUGCUGUGAA